rnacentral:lncRNA from 10 species
UCACUCCACUGCCUCGGGGGUUCUGAUGAGUAAAGUCUGGGCAUGCUCACUUGGGAGCAGAGAACACUUGUUCUCUUCUGUGCUCUGAGAUUCACUGAGGAGCUCAACCUGGACAGCAUUGCCUGGGGCCGAGAGAAUGAGCAUCACUAAUGAUCCAUGAGCCUAUGAGUUAUAAAAAUCCAGAUUCUCCAACCUAGCCAUUUGACAGCCUACUCAAUGUGAAGAUGGCGAGGAUGAAGACCUUUAUGAUGGUCCACUUCCAUUUAAUGAAUGGUA